UUAUAUGCAAUGAAAUGUUGUGUGAAAUUUUCACUGUAACACUGGAAAGGAUUAAACUUUACACAUGCAAAGUAUUUCCUUGGUUAAAAUAAAGGUAAAAACUGUACAAUUUUUUUUAAAGUACCAAUUUAACAAAGACUAAUAGGGAAAAAUCAAUGGUGGUAUUACACCUAUUUAGGGAAACUACAUGUGCACUCGUGACCUUAUUGUACUUUCAUUUUUAAAAGUUAUUAAUAAACCAGUUCAUACAUUGUAAACAUGGACUAUUCGGAAUGGAUUGAGACACAGAAAGCACGUUUGAGUGUUCACAUGUUCUGAAGAGCAUUCUGUUGAAAAAUCUUAUAUGUGAAUAGGUCUGCAGAUGACACUUCAGCAUUAAAACAAAAGAUAUCAAAUUUUGAUGAAAAUGGAAGGAAGGAGGAAUAAUGGACCAAAACAGACCAAAACAGACCUUCAAAUGAACUCUAAAAGGUGCAUUAAAAUUGUUUAUCAUCUAAAAGUUGUCUUUUUUAUUCUAUUUAAUUUUUUGAAUGCAUAGAUUAUGAGUUUUUGAUCAGAUAUUAGCCAACACUGCAUUUUAUAAUGAUACACUGAAAUUAGGAUUUUUCGAAGAAAUUAGACUGAAAUUGUCUUAGGAUAUGGCCUUACAUUAUAGUGAUUUUCUCUGAAACUAUAGCUCUGACUGAGACAAAACUUGACAGUUAUGCUUGAAAUAACUUGCAAUUGGAGGGAAAACAAUUACAUUAAGUUUAUUUGACAUUUAGGUGUUCUUUAGGUGUAAUACCACCAAAUCAUUGUACGUCACAUCC